GGAGAGGUGGCCGAGUGGUCGAAGGCGCUCGCCUGGAAAGUGAGUAGACGGGUUAACCCUCGUCUCGAGGGUUCAAAUCCCUCCUUCUCCGCCA
rnacentral:tRNA from 1 species